rnacentral:tRNA from 1 species
GGGCUUGUAGCUCAGUUGGUAUGAGCGCGCCCCUGAUAAGGGCGAGGUCAUUGGUUCGAGUCCAAUCAGGCCCA